CUGAUGAUCUGAGAAUCAAGAUCAAGAAAAGUGGAAGUGAGGAGUGUGCCAUUGAAAAAAUUAUGUGGAAACAUCUUAAAGUUAAAGACUACUAACACUUUUAUUUAAUAAAGAAGAAAUAACAUCACUAGUGGAGAAACCUAUCCUGGUUUGUUAAUUCAACUAUUUCUGGCACAAACAUAGCUGAGCAAGCCGAGACUAUUGUUGUGAAGGGCCAGGGAGAGAAGAUCCAGGGGACUGCAGUGCUCUGGACCUGUCUAAUUUCCUGAAUGGUCUGGAUUUCCAAAGCUUCACUAAUUUUGUCUUAUUUUGUGGAAGUCACUGAAAUCCAAAGAUGGGACAGAACAAAAACCGUAAGAACUCCAGAUUAUUUCCCUCUCUCCAUCCAAACUUGAGGUCAUCACUUGAAUACUAACGUUUGUUUAAAGAAGUGAUUGAAACAGUUGUAGUGGCCCCUGCAAAAGCCAGUUCCAUAUUUUUAU